rnacentral:lncRNA from 1 species
CUGGCACUGUCCCUCCAUUCAGUGUUGCACCAUGUUUGUGCAGUAUGCCACAAAAUAAGAGUCCCUGGCCACCCACGGUCCGGCCCCUUCUGUAUGUGUAGCUAAGGCAGAGAUUACACACUUCCUUGUUGUCAUACCCAUUCAUACCGUCAGUUGGAGCUCUGACAGGUUAAAAGCAGACAGCUGACACACUCAGCCAAUCACAGCUGCCCAUUGCCUCUCAGGGUAAUAC